AUUGAACGCUGGCGGCAUGCUUUACACAUGCAAGUCGAACGGCAGCGCGGGCCUCGGCCUGGCGGCGAGUGGCGAACGGGUGAGUAAUGCAUCGGAACGUGCCCAGUAGUGGGGGAUAGCCCGGCGAAAGCCGGAUUAAUACCGCAUACGACCUGAGGGUGAAAGCGGGGGACCGAAAGGCCUCGCGCUAUUGGAGCGGCCGAUGUCGGAUUAGCUAGUUGGUGGGGUAAAGGCUUACCAAGGCGACGAUCCGUAGCUGGUCUGAGAGGACGACCAGCCACACUGGGACUGAGACACGGCCCAGACUCCUACGGGAGGCAGCAGUGGGGAAUUUUGGACAAUGGGGGCAACCCUGAUCCAGCCAUGCCGCGUGCGGGAAGAAGGCCUUCGGGUUGGAAACCGCUUUUGUUCGGGAAGAAAUCCUCUGGGCUAAUACCCCGGGGGGAUGACGGUACCGGAAGAAUAAGCACCGGCUAACUACGUGC
rnacentral:rRNA from 1 species